rnacentral:rRNA from 1 species
AGUCUAAAGUAAUUAUUUUAGAUGUAGCCUGCCCAGUGUAAAUAAUUAACGGCCGCGGUACUCUGACCGUGCUAAGGUAGCGUAAUAAGUUGGCUUUUAAUUGAAGUCAGGUAUGAAUGGUUUAAUGGGGUUUAGCUGUCCUUAACUAUUUUGUUUAACUUACUUUUUAGGUGAAAAAGCCUAAGUGUGACAAGGGACGAGAAGACCCUUAGAGCUUUACCGCGGAAUCUUUGGGUAAAUGUUAGUGGUUAUUGUUGGGGCGACACGGGAAAAAUUUGAAAAAUCUUCCCUUAUUUUACAAGCCGAUGGUUUAUAAGUCAGAUUAGCUACCUUAGGGAUAACAGCAUAAUAUUAUAAUUAAGCUUGUGACCUCGAUGUUGGAUUAGGGACUUUUUUAACUAGAAGUUAAAAAAUUGUGUUCUGUUCNAACAUUACAUUCCU